UUAAAUUGAAGAGUUUGAUCAUGGCUCAGAUUGAACGCUGGCGGCAGGCCUAACACAUGCAAGUCGAACGGUAACAGAAAGCAGCUUGCUGCUUUGCUGACGAGUGGCGGACGGG
rnacentral:rRNA from 1 species